rnacentral:lncRNA from 1 species
GAGUGUGUAAGUCAAGAUUGGUGAAAAUUACAUUACUUAUUCCGGCUAGAAGGUUUAUGGGAAAAUGGUGUACAAUAUUUUUAGCUCAUCUCUGGGAUGUGGGUAUGGGGUCUCCUUCUAUAGAGUCAGUUUUGGUAGUUUUCGAAUUUCAAGAUAUGUUCUCUUCAAAACUAUCGAGAAUGACUCUAGAUAAGAUAUCAAUUUCUAUAUUAACUUAGAUCCAGG